rnacentral:ribozyme from 13 species
CAAAUAUACCAAAUUGUUACUAUUCCUCUCUCUCCUCGUUCUGUCUCUGGUUCUGCGCCUUCUCCUUCCUCUUCUCCUGCGAGUUCAGCACCCUCUGUUUUUCCAUCUUUUUCAAAGAAGAAGACUGAGUUGGAUCUUGAGAAAGUGGAGAGAAAAAAAUCUCGAAAAGAGCAAAAAAAACAAAAGAGGUCCAAGUCGACAAGCAAUUUGGAUAACAUGUCAGGAUCAAAAGGAAAGAAAUUAAAAA